UGCCAAAGAACUUGCCCUGAGG
rnacentral:piRNA from 1 species